rnacentral:lncRNA from 1 species
GUAUAGAGUGGAAGUAUGGCGAGAGACUGUUUCUUUUUUUCUUUCUUUUUGCGUUUUAGUUAUGACUCUGAUAUGUAACACUAGAAAACGUUUGCAAGUUUUGUCUAAUUUUUCGUUAGAGAGUUGAUGUAUACUCUCAUGUUUGAUUUUUCGAUGUUUUGAGGAGAUUCCAUUUAUGUGUUUAUUUAUGCCAUAAAGUGAAUUUUAAGUUUAAAUGAUUCAGUUAAUGCUUGCUUUAUUAUGAGAAAUUUCGUUGUAAUGAUACACUAAGUGAAGGUGAGCAUGCAAUGACAUCCUAAGUGAAGGUGUUGAUUGUUGUUUUUAUUUGCCUUUAUUUAAAUUAAAAUGCAAUAAGAUGAAAUUUCGAAAUAAUAAAAGUUACCAAUUACUCAUAAAUGAUGCAAAUUCCGAUUAUGCAC